rnacentral:rRNA from 1 species
ACGGGUGAGUAACGCGUGGGAACCUACCCAGAACUUCGGAAUAACACAUGGAAACGUGUGCUAAUACCGGAUACGCCCUACGGGGGAAAGAUUUAUCGGUUUUGGAUGGGCCCGCGUAAGAUUAGCUAGUUGGUGAGGUAAUGGCUCACCAAGGCGACGAUCUUUAGCUGGUCUGAGAGGAUGAUCAGCCACACUGGGACUGAGACACGGCCCAGACUCCUACGGGAGACAGCAGUGGGGAAUAUUGGACAAUGGGCGCAAGCCCGAUCCAGCCAUGCCGCGUGAGUGAUGAAGGCCUUAGGGUUGUAAAGCUCUUUCAGUAGGGAAGAUAAUGACGGUACCUACAGAAGAAGCCCCGGCUAACUUCGUGCCAGCAGCCGCGGUAAUACGAAGGGGGCUAGCGUUGUUCGGAUUUACUGGGCGUAAAGCGCACGUAGGCGGAUCGUUAAGUUAGGGGUGAAAUCCUGGAGCUCAACUCCAGAACUGCCUCUAAUACUGGCGAUCUAGAGUCCGGAAGAGGUGAGUGGAACUCCUAGUGUAGAGGUGGAAUUCGUAGA